rnacentral:rRNA from 1 species
AUUGAACGCUGGCGGCAUGCCUUACACAUGCAAGUCGAACGGCAGCACGGGAGCUUGCUCCUGGUGGCGAGUGGCGAACGGGUGAGUAAUACAUCGGAACGUACCCAGGAGUGGGGGAUAACGUAGCGAAAGUUACGCUAAUACCGCAUAUUCUGUGAGCAGGAAAGCGGGGGAUCGCAAGACCUCGCGCUCUUGGAGCGGCCGAUGUCGGAUUAGCUAGUUGGUGAGGUAAAAGCUCACCAAGGCGACGAUCCGGAGCAGGUCUGAGAGGAUGAUCUGCCACACUGGGACUGAGACACGGCACAGACUCCUACGGGAGGCAGCAGUGGGGAAUUUUGGACAAUGGGGGCAACCCUGAUCCAGCCAUGCCGCGUGAGUGAAGAAGGCCUUCGGGUUGUAAAGCUCUUUCGGCGGGGAAGAAAUGGCAACGGCUAAUAUCCGUUGUUGAUGACGGUACCCGCAUAAGAAGCACCGGCUAACUACGUGCCAGCAGCCGCAGUAA